UACUAGAGUAGCACUUGCAUAUCAAUAAGCGGAGGAAAAGAAACUAACAAGGAUUCCCCUAGUAACGGCGAGUGAAGCGGGAAGAGCUCAAAUUUGAAAUCUUAAAGGGUUUCCCUUUACGAAUUGUAGUUUAAAGAAGUGUUUUCUGUUGAGGUUUUGGUAAAAGGUUCUUUGGAAUAGGACAUCAUAGAGGGUGAGAAUCCCGUAUUUGACCUUUACUUUCAACUUUGUGAUACACUUUCAAAGAGUCGGAUUGUUUGGGAAUGCAGUCCAAAAUGGGUGGUAAAUUUCAUCUAAAGCUAAAUAUUGGCGAGAGACCGAUAGCGAACAAGUACCGUGAGGGAAAGAUGAAAAGAACUUUGAAAAGAGAGUUAAACAGUACGUGAAAUUGUCAAAAGGGAAGCGUUUGACACCAGUGUUGUUUUUCUGAAAAUCAAUUAAAGAACUGUUUAUGCUAAGCUGUUUAGACUUUAUCAGCUAUCUGUUUAGUUUUGAGCUUUUCUUUAAUGCACUUUUCAGUUAACAAGUCAACAUCAAUUUCUUUUGCUGUAAAAAAGCUUGAGGAAGGUGGCUUGAGAUUCGUCUUAAGUGUUUAUAGCCUCUUGCCUAUGCAGUCGGAGAGAUUGAGGUCUAGCAGCGUAGAUCCUUCGGGGCUAAAUGCAUUUGUGCUAAGUUAUAGCAUUUUAUAGACAACUUGUUGACUAUGAUUUGUCUUGUAGCUUACUCGCUUAUGUUAUUUUACCUACGCUUAGGAUGUUGAGCGCAUGUCUCUCUCU
rnacentral:rRNA from 1 species